rnacentral:rRNA from 1 species
GGGAUAACACUGACGUUCAUGCUCGAAAGCGUGGGUAGCAAACAGGAUUAGAUACCCUGGUAGUCCACGCCCUAAACGAUGUCAAUUAGCUGUUGGGCAACUUGAUUGCUUAGUAGCGUAGCUAACGCGUGAAAUUGACCGCCUGGGGAGUACGGUCGCAAGAUUAAAACUCAAAGGAAUUGACGGGGACCCGCACAAGCGGUGGAUGAUGUGGAUUAAUUCGAUGCAACGCGAAGAACCUUACCUGGUCUUGACAUGUACGGAAUCCUCCAGAGACGGAGGAGUGCCUUCGGGAGCCGUAACACAGGUGCUGCAUGGCUGUCGUCAGCUCGUGUCGUGAGAUGUUGGGUUAAGUCCCGCAACGAGCGCAACCCUUGUCAUUAGUUGCCAUCAUUUAGUUGGGCACUCUAAUGAGACUGCCGGUGACAAGCCGGAGGAAGGUGGGGAUGACGUCAAGUCCUCAUGGCCCUUAUGACCAGGGCUUCACACGUCAUACAAUGGUCGGUACAGAGGGUAGCCAAGCCGCGAGGUGGAGCCAAUCUCACAAAACCGAUCGUAGUCCGGAUUGCACUCUGCAACUCGAGUGCAUGAAGUCGGAAUCGCUAGUAAUCGCAGGUCAGCAUACUGCGGUGAAUACGUUCCCGGGUCUUGUACACACCGCCCGUCACACCAUGGGAGUGGGGGAUACCAGAAGUAGGUAGGGUAACCGCAAGGAGCCCGCUUACCACGGUAUGCUUCAUGACUGGGGUGAAGUCGUAACAAGGUAGCCGUAGGGGAACC